AUAUAAAGUGUUGUUCUACUCACAAACACAGGAAGUGGGUUCAAGGUGAAGAUAAAUUAAUCUUCACUUUGAACCCACUUCCUGUGUUCAUUAGUAGAACAACACUAUAU
rnacentral:miRNA from 1 species